AUUGAACGCUAGCGGGAUGCCUUACACAUGCAAGUCGAACGGCAGCACGGACUUCGGUCUGGUGGCGAGUGGCGAACGGGUGAGUAAUGUAUCGGAACGCGCCUAGUAGCGGGGGAUAACUACGCGAAAGCGUAGCUAAUACCGCAUACGCCCUAUGGGGGAAAGCAGGGGAUCGCAAGACCUUGCACUAUUAGAGCGGCCGAUAUCGGAUUAGCUAGUUGGUGGGGUAACGGCUCACCAAGGCGACGAUCCGUAGCUGGUUUGAGAGGACGACCAGCCCCACUGGGACUGAGACACGGCCCAGACUCCUACGGGAGGCAGCAGUGGGGAAUUUUGGACAAUGGGGGAAACCCUGAUCCAGCCAUCCCGCGUGUGCGAUGAAGGCCUUCGGGUUGUAAAGCACUUUUGGCAGGAAAGAAACGUCAUGGGUUAAUACCCCGUGAAACUGACGGUACCUGCAGAAUAAGCACCGGCUAACUACGUGCCAGCCGCCGCAGUAACAC
rnacentral:rRNA from 1 species